AGCGUACACGGUGGAUGCCCUGGCAGUCAGAGGCGAUGAAGGACGUGCUAAUCUGCGAUAAGCGUCGGUAAGGUGAUAUGAACCGUUAUAACCGGCGAUUUCCGAAUGGGGAAACCCAGUGUGAUUCGUCACACUAUCAUUAACUGAAUCCAUAGGUUAAUGAGGCGAACCGGGGGAACUGAAACAUCUAAGUACCCCGAGGAAAAGAAAUCAACCGAGAUUCCCCCAGUAGCGGCGAGCGAACGGGGAGCAGCCCAGAGCCUGAAUCAGUGUGUGUGUUAGUGGAAGCGUCUGGAAAGGCGCGCGAUACAGGGUGACAGCCCCGUACACAAAAAUGCACAUACUGUGAGCUCGAUGAGUAGGGCGGGACACGUGGUAUCCUGUCUGAAUAUGGGGGGACCAUCCUCCAAGGCUAAAUACUCCUGACUGACCGAUAGUGAACCAGUACCGUGAGGGAAAGGCGAAAAGAACCCCGGCGAGGGGAGUGAAAAAGAACCUGAAACCGUGUACGUACAAGCAGUGGGAGCACGCUUCGGCGUGUGACUGCGUACCUUUUGUAUAAUGGGUCAGCGACUUAUAUUCUGUAGCAAGGUUAACCGAAUAGGGGAGCCGAAGGGAAACCGAGUCUUAACUGGGCGUUAAGUUGCAGGGUAUAGACCCGAAACCCGGUGAUCUAGCCAUGGGCAGGUUGAAGGUUGGGUAACACUAACUGGAGGACCGAACCGACUAAUGUUGAAAAAUUAGCGGAUGACUUGUGGCUGGGGGUGAAAGGCCAAUCAAACCGGGAGAUAGCUGGUUCUCCCCGAAAGCUAUUUAGGUAGCGCCUCGUGAAUUCAUCUCCGGGGGUAGAGCACUGUUUCGGCAAGGGGGUCAUCCCGACUUACCAACCCGAUGCAAACUGCGAAUACCGGAGAAUGUUAUCACGGGAGACACACGGCGGGUGCUAACGUCCGUCGUGAAGAGGGAAACAACCCAGACCGCCAGCUAAGGUCCCAAAGUCAUGGUUAAGUGGGAAACGAUGUGGGAAGGCCCAGACAGCCAGGAUGUUGGCUUAGAAGCAGCCAUCAUUUAAAGAAAGCGUAAUAGCUCACUGGUCGAGUCGGCCUGCGCGGAAGAUGUAACGGGGCUAAACCAUGCACCGAAGCUGCGGCAGCGACACUAUGUGUUGUUGGGUAGGGGAGCGUUCUGUAAGCCUGUGAAGGUGUGCUGUGAGGCAUGCUGGAGGUAUCAGAAGUGCGAAUGCUGACAUAAGUAACGAUAAAGCGGGUGAAAAGCCCGCUCGCCGGAAGACCAAGGGUUCCUGUCCAACGUUAAUCGGGGCAGGGUGAGUCGACCCCUAAGGCGAGGCCGAAAGGCGUAGUCGAUGGGAAACAGGUUAAUAUUCCUGUACUUGGUGUUACUGCGAAGGGGGGACGGAGAAGGCUAUGUUGGCCGGGCGACGGUUGUCCCGGUUUAAGCGUGUAGGCUGGUUUUCCAGGCAAAUCCGGAAAAUCAAGGCUGAGGCGUGAUGACGAGGCACUACGGUGCUGAAGCAACAAAUGCCCUGCUUCCAGGAAAAGCCUCUAAGCAUCAGGUAACAUCAAAUCGUACCCCAAACCGACACAGGUGGUCAGGUAGAGAAUACCAAGGCGCUUGAGAGAACUCGGGUGAAGGAACUAGGCAAAAUGGUGCCGUAACUUCGGGAGAAGGCACGCUGAUAUGUAGGUGAAGCGACUUGCUCGUGGAGCUGAAAUCAGUCGAAGAUACCAGCUGGCUGCAACUGUUUAUUAAAAACACAGCACUGUGCAAACACGAAAGUGGACGUAUACGGUGUGACGCCUGCCCGGUGCCGGAAGGUUAAUUGAUGGGGUUAGCGGUAACGCGAAGCUCUUGAUCGAAGCCCCGGUAAACGGCGGCCGUAACUAUAACGGUCCUAAGGUAGCGAAAUUCCUUGUCGGGUAAGUUCCGACCUGCACGAAUGGCGUAAUGAUGGCCAGGCUGUCUCCACCCGAGACUCAGUGAAAUUGAACUCGCUGUGAAGAUGCAGUGUACCCGCGGCAAGACGGAAAGACCCCGUGAACCUUUACUAUAGCUUGACACUGAACAUUGAGCCUUGAUGUGUAGGAUAGGUGGGAGGCUUUGAAGUGUGGACGCCAGUCUGCAUGGAGCCGACCUUGAAAUACCACCCUUUAAUGUUUGAUGUUCUAACGUUGGCCCGUGAUCCGGGUUGCGGACAGUGUCUGGUGGGUAGUUUGACUGGGGCGGUCUCCUCCUAAAGAGUAACGGAGGAGCACGAAGGUUGGCUAAUCCUGGUCGGACAUCAGGAGGUUAGUGCAAUGGCAUAAGCCAGCUUGACUGCGAGCGUGACGGCGCGAGCAGGUGCGAAAGCAGGUCAUAGUGAUCCGGUGGUUCUGAAUGGAAGGGCCAUCGCUCAACGGAUAAAAGGUACUCCGGGGAUAACAGGCUGAUACCGCCCAAGAGUUCAUAUCGACGGCGGUGUUUGGCACCUCGAUGUCGGCUCAUCACAUCCUGGGGCUGAAGUAGGUCCCAAGGGUAUGGCUGUUCGCCAUUUAAAGUGGUACGCGAGCUGGGUUUAGAACGUCGUGAGACAGUUCGGUCCCUAUCUGCCGUGGGCGCUGGAGAACUGAGGGGGGCUGCUCCUAGUACGAGAGGACCGGAGUGGACGCAUCACUGGUGUUCGGGUUGUCAUGCCAAUGGCACUGCCCGGUAGCUAAAUGCGGAAGAGAUAAGUGCUGAAAGCAUCUAAGCACGAAACUUGCCCCGAGAUGAGUUCU
rnacentral:rRNA from 1 species